UACGUAGGGGGCUAGCGUUGUCCGGAAUCAUUGGGCGUAAAGAGCGUGUAGGCGGUCCGGUAAGUCCGCUGUGAAAGUCGGGGGCUCAACCCUCGAAUGCCGGUGGAUACUGUCGGGCUAGAGUGCGGAAGAGGCGAGUGGAAUUCCUGGUGUAGCGGUGAAAUGCGCAGAUAUCAGGAGGAACACCGGUGGCGAAGGCGGGUCUCUGGGCAACAACUGACGCUGAGGAGCGAAAGCGUGGGGAGCAACAGG
rnacentral:rRNA from 1 species